CGGGCGGGCGGCGUCGGCGCACUGCCCUCCCCGGAGACAGCGGAGCGUUUCAGCGGCCGCCGGGAACUUGCUGACUCUUCACAUUGCGACUGGCAAGAGUGAACAGUUACCUGACAAAACCAAGGACUUCCUGCAUAUGAAAGAUCUUCUACAUAAACAUCCACAAAUGAGAAUCAUAUGCAAUUUCUGCCAGCCCAAAUGGGCCCCUCCAUGCCAAGGAAACUGGUGAACAACCUCCAGCGAAGUGUCCAAGGAGAUGAGCCAUGGAGCACCUACACAGCAGGUGUGGGUGCAGUAACCUGCUGCUGGAUGGUGACAAGCAAUGAGACACUGUAUCUUCAUCAGUUCCAGCUAUGUCAGGAAGGAAACAUAAUCUGCUGCCCUGCUGAUAAUGCUAAGUGGGUAACCCCCCUGUGUAAACAUAUUUAUAGCACUCUAAAGGAUGUUUUCCCACCAACGUGAUAUUCCUAUAAAUUUAUCUCUAAUACCAUUUUAUCUAAUACCAAUUUUAUCUUAAUCUACAGCAUGAAGUAGUGUUGCAUCCUGAGCCAAUAUAUAAGCAUUAAACAUGAGUAUCUUAUCUCUAUUUAUAAUCUCACAAAGCUGUUUUAAUUUAAUCUUAUCUAAUUACACUGCAAUGUAAAAUAGUGCAAUUUUUAAGUAGUUUUAGGAGGCCUUUAUUAGCCAAAUGAUGCAAAAGGAAUAACAAAAAAACUACUGAGCAGGGCCAAAUGAAGCUGUAACAUAGCUGAGAGGGUUGGGCUGCAGGUUACGUUAUUCCCAUGCCAUGUGACAUGGAAUGAGCAACUCUGAGGUGUGCUGGUAGUCCCCACUGUAGCCAGGUCUCUUGAAUGCCCUUUUGUCGUAUUUGAAAGGAUAUAACUUCAAACCAAGUAAAACAGCAGAAUAGAUAGAUAACUUCUGAUAUUAAAAUCCUUCAGUCACUGUAUUUAUUACAAAAUACGCAAUAUAUUUUUAAAUUAUACCCCUUAUUUUAAAAAUAUUUUUCUUGAGAAACCCUGCCAGAAGUCAUCAUUACUAUAUGCAAAUAUAUAUUUAGUGCAUAAAUACGUAACACACAAAAUUAUUAUACUUUUCUGAUCAUAAGAUUGCAUUAACACAGCUAAGGCUGCUUACCUGCUUUGAUGCUUCUGCCUGUACAUUGGCUUUGGGCAUGUAACUUUCAGGUGCAGUUUAGCACUAUGCCUUCUGCAUGUUCACAUACCAUCAUAAAGGUGUGCUCUUCCCUUUCCUUUCACAUGUCUCAGUAAGUCCUCAGAACUUACUGCCCUGCUGAAUGAAGUGAGUUGUAAAGCUGUGUACAAGCAAAACAGACCUGGAGAACCAAUACUUGCAGGCAAGUAAUGCACCUCUGAGCACUUACCAGUGCCUGUGGCCCCGUGGUGGGCAAGUCAGCCACCUAAAUUCCUAACAGAGUUAAGAACUGAAUGACAGUCUUCUCAAAGGCAGCAGUCAGAGAGACUUCAGAAGUGGUUCAAUACUUGGUCAAAGCUCCACCUAGGCACUCCACAUGUCUUAGGAAUGCAAAUAUUUUGCAGCACUCUGAUCCUGGUAGGAGGUUCCUUCUUUGUAAUCUUAAAACUAAUCCAAAUCCAAUAAUUUUAUACUGUAGGAUAAUUUCUGCAUUAAAAUAGCAAACUCAUAUAUUUUUCUUAGCCAGCAGAUUUGAAGCUGAAGUAAUUCUGAAAUCUCCACUGUAACUUAUAUAUAUAUUUUAUAUAUAUAUAUAUAUAAAAGAAAUGGCCUGCUAAUAUAAAAAAUAGCAAGACUGGGAUACAGAGGCAAGAAGAUUCAUUCCUUAAUUUAAGUUAUAUACAGCAUUAAAAAAAUUUUAGAUGAGACUUAAGAAAGAUGGUACAUUAAGACAUUAAUCCAUCUACUAUUUCUAGCCAAGAUUUAGUUUCCUGCAAUAUUUUGACAGACAAGUACCAAAAAAAGCUGUCAGGAGCUGAUAUCCUGAUAAUGAUGGUAUAUUGUAUAAGGGCAUCUCAUAUUAGGGGCAAAUUCUGGGACUGCACGCUGACAGCCAUAAUAAUUACUUAAUCCUGCUGGAGUUAAUGGGAUUAUGGCUACCCUUCCUUCUUCUUCCAUUAGAAUAACCUUGUAUAAGAGACAGUUUGAUGGAAGAUGUACAUGUUUCCCAGCUCAGGAGUCAGAAACCCGUGAAGACCCUGAAAACAAACUACCUCUUAAGCAAAAAAACUAGCACUUCCUAUUAAAAGUCAAGACACAAAGCAAACUUGAUGUACACCCUGUCUCAGAAAAGAUUUGAUAAAACAUGGCUCCAUACCUCUCAGCAGGUCACAACAACCGGACCCUUCGGUACUCUGGGUGGAUAAACUGCAGUAGGUCCCAUUGUCCCUGCACUCUCUUGCAUAGUAGAGGCCACCUUGCACCAUCACCGUUGUUGAUAGAAAAUAAGGGAGUGGUAUAUCCCUUUUUUUCCAAAACAUAUGAUCUCAGCUCCUGGCACAGAGCAUUUCACUUGUUCCUCACUGCCCUGAGUUCAAGUAGAUAAACAUGUGGCUGUGCUGUACCAGGGACUGCAGACCCUGCACUUUCACAUUAUCCCAAUGAGAUGCCUAUCCACUACUGCUACUGCAUUUAUGCAGAAAAUGUGGGAACCCUCAGCAGCUGGUCCAAGGUGUGUCCCCCCCAGACUUGUACUAGUUUGCAUGAAGUCUCACAUACUGUGUUAAAUCAGUACAGGGAGCAACAUGCCCCAGAAGAGCUAAACAAACCCAAUGCUGAGACCGCCAAAUUUAUGAACAGGCUUUGCCAUUCCUUGAAAGAAGUCAUGUUGGAGGCAGGGUUUGACAGGAAUAUAGUUUGUUGUUUAACUGAUAGACUUAAGGUUUGCAUGAGAGCCGGUUGUGACUUGGAGAAAUUUAGCAUGAAAUACAGAGAAUAAGGGGUUACUCAUCCCUAUUGCUUUUGAACCAAUGUAGCACCUGAGCUGUGUGUUGGCAUUUUCUCAAAAUGGUGUCAACCUUUGUAUAGUCCCCCUCUUAUCAGUUGCCAUUACAUGGCAAAAUUAACCACUUUAGUCUUGUACUAACAAUGCUACUUUUGUAUUAUGUUUAUUGCAUUAUCUUAUAUAUUGUUCAUAGUCAUGCAUACUCUUGCUUUUUUUUAAUACUGAUGUUUUCCAUGAAAUGCACUUGUGUCAUUUUAAAAAAUCAAUAACCGUAUUAUCUUCAGAUUGCCUCAUGUAUUGUGGCACUGUAAGAAAUGAGGUGUUGGAAAUAAAAUGUUAAGCCACCCAAAGCCACCGCAGUUAAUCAUAUUUAACAUCUGACUAAACUAGGCUCACUCAGAGCUUUUGGUAGAGUCCUGCUUAAGCCAUUCUGUUGUAUUAUGUGAGAGGCCAUUAAUAGCUGCAUUUUCUAUUAAAACUGGAUGUAGUUCUAAGAAGCCAAAGGCUCUGUUGAAGUUUAGGAAUAUUUUGUAUCUUUCAUUUCUCUGAUACAAAAGGUCUUGGAAUGGCUUACCAUUUGUUUUUCUGUGACCUACAGAUAGACUACUGAUCAUAAAUCUAUUUGCUUUUAAUUAGUAUAUUAUCAUGAAAAGCAUAUGAGAGGAGACUGGAGAGAGUACAUCCCGCUGGUCAACCUCCCUAGUGCUGAGUUGCUUUUUAUUUACUCUCUUGAACCUGUAAUGAAAAUGCACGUACUCUACUGCAAUUAAAGUGUUAACUUUCGUCAUCACUAUUCUUAUUUCCGCCACAAAACUGAUGUGAAAACUCAGCUUUUGUGUUGCCUGAAUAACAUAAUUCCCCCAAACAACUCAUACUUCAAGUGGAACAAAAACCCCAACUCUGAAGAGCAAGAAGAGAGCAGAGUAUUAAGGCAGGGUAGGCACCAGUGUGGAGAGCCAGGUUUUUUAUGAAACAGUGGGAUUAGAGACAGAUUUCCAAAGAGUCAAGUACAUCAAUGAAAGGGGACAGAAGCUUAAGGAUGUCCUACUGCAUAUUACUUUAAAAGAUAAAUAUGAUGAAAUUUUCCCUGUGGAAGGCUCAUUAUAAAUCCAUCACAAUCAGAUGUCUCUGCAGAGACGACCAGCAUAAAGAGACAGCCUGGCUUUCCUCAAUCAAGUCAAAAAGGAAUAAAUAUGCUUCACCUCUGAGACACUCUAAAUGAAUACAAAAAUAACAUAAUUUUAAACUGAACUCUGGAUAUACCUAUGUACUCUUGAGAGAAAUACGGGUUUCAGUGUUGUCUCCCUGAGAAUUCUUUUAGCUUUGACUACACGCCUUGUAAAUAGGUUCACAUAAAAAACGAUGCAUCUUUGCUUACUCUGUGUAAACAAAACUAGUCCAUGUGGUUGACAACAGUUUUGCUUAUAUGUGUGUAAGAUUUCUAUUGACAGCUUUGUUUCCAAGUGCCACAGAAAGACUGGGAAAGCUGUCCAUUUUUCUUGUUUAGUAAGGCAAUCUUAGAGACUUUUAGGAUCAGAAAUAGUUUUCUUGCUUUGUAUUGGUGAGUGUAAAUCAAUAUUGAUACAAAAUACAACUACUGCCAUAGUGAAAAGUAAGGAAAGUGUAAGCAAGCCUUUUCAUUUUCAGGAACACAACCACAAAACAUCUCAAGCAGCAGUUUCC